AUACGAAGUAGUAGGGAAAGGAAACUGGACGACCUCGGGAGCUUGUACGGGUGCUGCAUGGCUGUCGUCAGCUCGUGUCGUGAGAUGUUCCGGUUAAGUCCGCUAACGAGCGCAACCCUCGCUGUGUGUUACAAGUGUCACACGGAACUGCCGGUCAUAAACCGGAGGAAGUGGGGAUGAUGUCAAGUCAGCAUGGCCUUUAUAUCCUGGGCUACACACACGCUACAAUGGCCAACACAAUAGGUUGCUAAGCCGCGAGGUGGCGCCAAUCCAUAAAGUUGGUCUCAGUUCAGAUUGUAGGCUGCAACCCGCCUGCAUGAAGAUGGAGUUGCUAGUAACCGCAGGUCAGCUAUACUGCGGUGAAUACGUUCCCGGGGCUU
rnacentral:rRNA from 1 species